GCUGAUAUAGCUCAAUGGUAGAACAACGGAUUUAUAAUCCGUUGUUCAAAUUCUUUUAUUAGUU
rnacentral:tRNA from 1 species